rnacentral:rRNA from 1 species
UCUUCGGACUGGCGGCGAGCGGCGAACGGGUGAGUAAUACAUCGGAACAUGCCCAGUCGUGGGGGAUAACACUUCGAAAGAAGUGCUAAUACCGCAUACGUCCUGAGGGAGAAAGCGGGGGAUCGCAAGACCUCGCGCGAUUGGAGUGGCCGAUGUCAGAUUAGCUAGUUGGUGGGGUAAAGGCCUACCAAGGCAACGAUCUGUAGCUGGUCUGAGAGGAUGAUCAGCCACACUGGGACUGAGACACGGCCCAGACUCCUACGGGAGGCAGCAGUGGGGAAUUUUGGACAAUGGGGGCAACCCUGAUCCAGCCAUUCCGCGUGAGUGAAGAAGGCCUUCGGGUUGUAAAGCUCUUUCGGCAGGAACGAAACGGUGAGCUCUAACAUAGCUCGCUAAUGACGGUACCUGAAGAAGAAGCACCGGCUAACUACGUGCCAGCAGCCGCGGUAAUACGUAGGGUGCGAGCGUUAAUCGGAAUUACUGGGCGUAAAGCGUGCGCAGGCGGUUGUGUAAGACAGGUGUGAAAUCCCCGGGCUUAACCUGGGAACUGCGCUUGUGACUGCACGGCUAGAGUAUGGCAGAGGGGGGUGGAAUUCCACGUGUAGCAGUGAAAUGCGUAGAGAUGUGGAGGAACACCGAUGGCGAAGGCAG